CAGAAACUCUCCAGUAAACUGGCAAUUGAGAGUGAUUUACAGGAUCGAUAGGCCAUUUGCAGUGUGGCACUUUUAAAAUCCAAGGCACCAAUCAAAGUGAAGUGUCUGAACUUCUGGGAAAAAUUCUUCUAUGUGCAUAAUGUUGUCAUUGAAAACUGGCUUCUUAUUUACCUUGUCACCUGUUGCUCUGACAUUUUUCAAAAGAAGAGGCCUUAAUUCAAAGUCAGGAGAUGACAUGACUAACCUGACACCCCAGAGCACAUGAGCACAUAUGUCCAACCCUGGCAUCUGAUGAGGACCUGACACAUCUCCCCUGUACAUCCUGGGGACUCACUGAUGCAUUUGUGCCUGAACAGAGUCCUCUUUAUCUGCCAGUGGUAUUUCUGUGAUGAGCAAGACCAUUUGCAAUUUUCUUAGGCAUUUGAUCAUGACCUCCCUGCAGAUAGAGGCCAGAUUCCUCUCAACUUUAGCAGU